ACUUAAGGAGUGUAUUUGCUGUAAAUAUGGACGUAAAGCAAUAUGUAGGCUUUAGGUGGAUGUGCAAGAAGAACUGCAUGUCCAUAAAGAAACCUACGGAUAUGA